rnacentral:rRNA from 1 species
CCUACGGGCGGCAGCAGUGGGGAAUAUUGGACAAUGGGCGAAAGCCUGAUCCAGCCAUGCCGCGUGUGUGAAGAAGGCCUUCGGGUUGUAAAGCACUUUCAGUGGGGAAGAAAGCCUUGGGGCUAAUACCCUCGAGGAAGGACAUCACCCACAGAAGAAGCACCGGCUAACUCCGUGCCAGCAGCCGCGGUAAUACGGAGGGUGCGAGCGUUAAUCGGAAUUACUGGGCGUAAAGCGCGCGUAGGCGGUCUGAUAAGCCGGUUGUGAAAGCCCCGGGCUCAACCUGGGAACGGCAUCCGGAACUGUCAGGCUAGAGUGCAGGAGAGGAAGGUAGAAUUCCCGGUGUAGCGGUGAAAUGCGUAGAGAUCGGGAGGAAUACCAGUGGCGAAGGCGGCCUUCUGGACUGACACUGACGCUGAGGUGCGAAAGCGUGGGUAGCAAACAGGAUUAGAUGCCCGAGUAGUC